UACAGAGGGGGCAAGCGUUAUUCGGAAUUAUUGGGCGUAAAGGGCGCGUAGGCGGCUUUGCAAGUGACGGGUGAAAGCCCUCGGCUUAACCGAGGAACUGCCUGUCAGACUGUGAGGCUUGAGACCGGGAGAGGUGAGUGGAAUUCCCAGUGUAGCGGUGAAAUGCGUAGAUAUUGGGAGGAACACCAGUGGCGAAGGCGGCUCACUGGACCGGAACUGACGCUGAGGCGCGAAAGCGUGGGGAGCAAACAGGG
rnacentral:rRNA from 1 species